rnacentral:tRNA from 1 species
GGGGAUUUGGCUCAGUGGUAGAGCGCUUGCCUAGCAAGCGAAAGCCCUGGGUUCGGUCCCCAGCUCCG